UUCAACCACCAAAAUUAAUUAGGAACUAGGUGUAAGCCUAAUUCCCUUUCAAUAACCUAUCUUUCUAAUUAUAUUUUUAUGCAUAUAUAUAUUUAGAUGCAAUCAUGGACACUUAUCACACUCAAUCAAAGAACCAAAUCAAACAAGGUUCAUAAGAACAAGCAAGCAAGUGCAUACAUACCUACCAAAAAUAUUUUUUUCUAGGAUUAGGUGUCCUAUUCCUAAGGAUCACUUUAGGUUCAGGAUUCCAAGGUGUGAAAUCCUUUUGGCUUUCAGGAGUGAAAAGGUAAGAUGAAUCAGAGGGUAAGUAGCACAAGAUGAGAAAAGAUAUAGAAAAGAUUAAGGAAAGUUUUAGAAAGAAUCGGAGUAAAGGUAAGUAAGUAGGUAAGGGUUGUCCAGGUCUAUCUAGGUUACAUCCUACAGUCAACAUUGCUCCGAUACCACUUUUGUCACACUCGGAUUUAAGGGCAAACCCGGGCGCGUCUCAAAUGUAUGCUAGGAUCAAGUCUCACACAUAUGAUGACUCAUGGUACAGAAAUCAAUGUCAUAUCUUUAUUAAAUAAUCGGAGUUUCUUUACAAAAUAACUAAAUACAAUACACCAUAUGACGACGAGAUCCUCCACCAUUAAAGUUGACUGGGAGACGAUGGCCUAGAUCUCUCCGAAAUCAUCUUCAUGAUUCUCCUCUGGUGGUACCUGUUCUUAACCUGGGAGUGAUUAUAGCAAGGGUGAGCUCCCAUACGGUCAUCGCUCAGCAAGUGUGGGGAAUAAUGUGCAUGAUCUCACUUACGGUGGGGGCUCAUGUGUAGUGUAAGGCUGAUCAACAAAUAAUGGUUAAGGGUGAGUAUUGCUUUUAAUAAGUUGGUCAAAAUUUUAUUAGCAAUUACUAAGUAUAAGUGAAUACCAACCCAAAAUAAUAGAUCAUAAGUAACAAUAAUAAUGCUUCCCAUAAUGCAAUGCAUGACAGGUUAAGUUUAAUUCCAUAAUUUAAUCAUGCGAGAGUCCUGAGCCGCUCUUGACCGUGAGCACGGCUGAUAUACCAGUUUUACACUCUGCAGAGGUUGCGCAUCUUUACCCACAAGACGUGUUUCCCGUGUAGCCAGGGUUAGCUAGACCCUUAGACACUUCCAAGGUGAAUGGCUAGGGAUCCACUGCGAGGCCUUUACAAAGUUCCACUAGCUUGAGAAAACCCGCUACGGUUUCAGGUAGAGGGGGUAUAGAAAUCCCUCGUCCGAACAGCUAUCACAGACAGUUCGACUCGAGAACCUCCCUAUACUUGCGGCAACUCCUCCCCGCUUGCCCCUUUCGGGUAAGGUAAUCUCUCACUAGCUUUCCUAAUUAAUUGGCCAAGGGCAUCCCAUUAAACCCUUGUGGUAGCACUGUUUUCUCAGGUUAAGCUCCAUGUUCCAAUUAACAAAAUGGUCUUAUUAUGUAUGAGAGUAAGCCAGCAAUAAUAAAUUAUAUUGGAACAUGAUCAUAAUCAUAUAUAGCGUUAAUCCCAAAACCAGGUAGAGCAAUAGCAGAACUACCCAAUAAUUCAUUUAUAUGCAAGGUGUGGGGUAAACAAAACUAGGUAACCUAUUAGGUCCCAUCAGCUUAACCUAACAGUGCGAGCAUUGGUGAGAACAUAACAGCUAACAUUAUUAGGUCAAAGAAUGUGAUCAAGGACACAACUUGCCUUUUUGGGUGCAACUCCAGGUACUUCUCUAAGUUGGGCUUCAGGUUCCUCGUAACCUCACUUCUAUUCGUAGCAAUAUAUACAGAUAGACAAGGAAUAGGUAAAAAUAACAUUACACCAAACAUGAAAACAAACAGUGUAAUAAUAUUCUACGCGUCGCUACAAAACCGUAGGUUCAAGAACCACUAAAAUCGGAGUUAAAACGGAGAAGAUAUGGAUUUUCUAAGUUUUCUAUAAUUAUUCUUAUACUAUAAAUCAACUUCCCACGGUUUAUUCAUUUUUCCGUUUAUUUAUUCCCAUUGAAAUGGCCUGCGGGUUCGAUUUCUAGAGAUGACAGGGUGCUCGGUGUAAAAAUAUGGACCUAUCUGCGAUUACUAUUGACUAGGCAUGGACGGCGGGCUGAUUAUGCAAAAAUGUAGGGACUCUUUAGCAAGUAUACGUGACCGAAGGGGUAUCGCAGUAUAUGGGCCGUUGGAUUCUCGAUCUUCGGCUAGGAUUAGAUUGGAUCACGACAUAGUGCCCCAACAACUACCAACCACAUAUCUGCAGAUCAGCGGCCAACAACUACUGUAUACCAGAGCUGUCCGAUCGGCGAUCUACGCCCACCAUCGCUACUGACCGAAUCGUUACUCAGCUCUUAAUCUCGACCGUUCGUUAGAGAUUCGGUGGUCACGCUAUCUCCUCCUCCUUUACUGCCCUGCGACGACCAGCACGCGGCGGCGCUGUGUGCCGACGGCGGCGCCAUGGCCGCGAUUCCCUGCCCAACACAUCUGAGCCCCUAACCUCGAUUCUAUAGGCGCAUCAUGUGGAGGAGACGAUGGGGAAUUAGGAGGGCAUGAACUCACCGGUGAUUAAGGCCGUGGUGGUGCAGACCACGAGUAGGGCGACUCGGCGGCGAUGAAGCAGCUCCGGUGAGAAAUCUCCCGUACUCCGACCAACUAUUCCACCCGGAAAAUCCACGUAUGUGGGCGGCGUGCACCGGCGACACCUCCCGUGCACGUGGUUGGAGCUAGGCGGCUCGGAGCGUGAAGGUCAACCGCGGCGGCCUUCCCCCCCGCGCUCUCUCUGUCUCUCUCGACCCUCUCGCUCUCGGCAUGCGCGAUGGCGUAGACACGAGACGACUCCGGUGGCGAGGCGGUGGCCAUGUGCGGCCCGUCUAGCCCCGGCGACGUGAUGCGGUGUCUCUCCUCCUCCACUGGCGCUCAAGGACUCGACGGGGUCGG
rnacentral:lncRNA from 1 species